GUAGCUCUAGUUAUGGUCAAUUUACCAAGUACUAGUCCAGUGAUAAAUGCUAUUCCAAAUCAGGGCAGAUUCUAGAACUCAACUUUGUCAAGCUAAUUGGACAAGUUAUAGUCAUAAUUUGGCUUAGUGUUCUUCAUAUGAGUUGUUCCCCUAUGUCUCAAGGUUAGACAGAUUCAGGAAUCACUAAAUUUGAAAUUAUGUAGGGUAAGUUAUGGGUAAU
rnacentral:misc_RNA from 1 species